CUCUCUUAAAGAUCAUUGGAAAUAUAUUCUCAGGCUUCUGUCUUCAAAUUUCAAGUUUAACAAGAAAAUCGAUUAAAGGUGGGUAUCUUUCUGAUUGGUUAAUUCUCAUUUUUAAUUGCCUAUUUAUGAUUAGAACUGUUUUUCCAUUUUCUUCUGAGAUCUCUAGAUGAUGAAAAGUUUCUGUUCCUUCAGUGGAAGUGGACAGAGACUCAGUUAUCCCUGAGGAUUUUCUCAGGCAAAUGUGAAACAAAUGGAAAGAAAAAAUUUCUCAAAGCUUACAGGAGAUGUGGCAUAGAAGCCAACCUCAAAAAGUCAGGUAGCAUUGCCACAUGGAUCCUCCAGCUGGAGGCUGAGGAGGUGAACUCAUAAAGGCCAUCUGCUUAGUUCUGGGCUUUCUCCAACAUUGUUCUUCCCUAAAGAGCAAAGGUUCCGUGUCCAUUCUUUGUGAAGUCAAGAUAUUAGAUUGGUUCUCGAGUGUCCAUGUCCUUGAGUGUCUCUCCACUUGUGCACUAUUAAUGGACAGGGGCUUCCUGUUCCACUGUGAUUGCUGGAGCCACUGCUUGGAUGUGGAUCCUGGCUCCACCCUUUAGUAGGACUGUGGCCUCCUGGAACGUUAGACUGUCUAUAAAAUGCAGUGAAUAACAGUGUAUCUCAGGAUUGUGAGGGGAAAAAAUAAGUAUCAACUCGUUUUAGAAAAGUGCUAAGCAUAUUUUAUGUAUUCAAUUAGUGGUAGUUACUACUCUUUAAAAAACGUUUUUAUAUAAAAAAAAAAAAAA